AAUCAGUAUGCGCAAAAUCACCAUCUUCAAUUAAUGAAGAAUAAAACAAAAGCCAUUGGAGAAAUGUUGAAAAAUAAUUCUGGUGUGUGGGGCCAAAAUGCGUGGAAUGGUAUCAAAAGUAGCAGCAAAGGUAUACAGGAGACUGCCGAAACUGCCAAAGGAGUAAACAGUAUCGUAGAUAUUGGAGCAGAAUGGGGAAUGUGGAAAAAUCCUAAGCCGCAUUUAGUUAAUGAUGAUGA